rnacentral:lncRNA from 1 species
UCAUGAUUCAUUUGUCUCAGAACUAAUCCAGGGGGAAGUUUGUUGGGGUAUUAAAGUAUAUCCCCUUUAUCUUCAGUGCUUUAAUAGUAUUCUCCAGGGGUUUUGCUCUUACUUCAGCUUCCCCCAAACGAUUUUAGGUUGAGAGUUUUGAUGGUGCUGCCAGAAAUGUGAUUGGUCCAGAAUAUCUGAGCCCCCACGUUGUGUGUGAAGGAAGUGGUGAAGGGUCCAAGGUUUGGCUCCCAUUUGCCUUUGAUGGUUUUGUUGAUACUCAGGCCUGGAGCAGAUACUCCACUAAUAUGUGGCAAAAUGAAAACCAUGAAUCAGCUAGAGUCAAGUCCUGCAUGCAGGGUAUACCUGACCCUCAUCGCACAAAUGUGUCUGUUGACAAGGGGCUGGAAAUGCUGGAAAGUGUCUGCAUCGUGCGCCUGAGCCACCUGGGAACUGAGAGCGCCUGCUUGGGGGAUGCUUCAUUUCUACUGCAAGGAGUGGGAAGUAGCCCUUUGAAUGAGGAAGGCCUCUGACAUGUCAGUUUUGGCAUUUGGAACAACCUUUCUAGAAGGAACUUGCUAUGUGAGCUAGCUGCAAACACUCGUGAAAACCUUUU